AUUUUUUGCUGUAUAUUUAUCAAAAUUUAAAAAAAUGCACUAUUUACAGUUUUAUAAAAUUUGGUCCACAUAAUCUCCCUGCAAAAUGAAACAAAAUGUCGUUUUAGAAAAUAGGGGUCCAUGCACUCGUUUUCAAAUGAAAUCAGUUUGAAUGAUAAAAAUCAGUCGAAAAAUGCAUCUUUUCCCGAUAUGUCACAGUUUGACGUCGCGAAAAUAACAUUUGACGUUAGCAACGUCAUUACCUCCCCUGUAACUGUAUCGUAUGCCCU
rnacentral:lncRNA from 1 species